UGAGGAAUAUUGGUCAAUGGACGCAAGUCUGAACCAGCCAAGUAGCGUGCAGGAAGACGGCCCUCUGGGUUGUAAACUGCUUUUAGUUGGGAAUAAAGUGCACCACGUGUGGUGUUUUGUAUGUACCAUCAGAAAAAGGACCGGCUAAUUCCGUGCCAGCAGCCGCGGUAAUACGGAAGGUCCAGGCGUUAUCCGGAUUUAUUGGGUUUAAAGGGAGCGCAGGCGGACCUUUAAGUCAGCUGUGAAAUACGACGGCUCAACCGUCGAACUGCAGUUGAUACUGGAGGUCUUGAGUGCACACAGGGGUACUGGAAUUCAUGGUGUAGCGGUGAAAUGCUCAGAUAUCAUGAAGAACUCCGAUCGCGAAGGCAGGUAUCCGGGGUGCAACUGACGCUGAGGCUCGAAAGUGCGGGUAUCAAACA
rnacentral:rRNA from 1 species